AGUGAACGCUGGCGGUAGGCCUGACACAUGCAAGUCGAACGGCAGCACAGUAAGAGCUUGCCCUUACGGGUGGCGAGUGGCGGACGGGUGAGGAAUACAUCGGAAUCUACUUUUUCGUGGGGGAUAACGUAGGGAAACUUACGCUAAUACCGCAUACGACCUACGGGUGAAAGCAGGGGAUCUUCGGACCUUGCGCGAUUGAAUGAGCCGAUGUCGGAUUAGCUAGUUGGCGGGGUAAAGGCCCACCAAGGCGACGAUCCGUAGCUGGUCUGAGAGGAUGAUCAGCCACACUGGAACUGAGACACGGUCCAGACUCCUACGGGAGGCAGCAGUGGGGAAUAUUGGACAAUGGGCGCAAGCCUGAUCCAGCCAUACCGCGUGGGUGAAGAAGGCCUUCGGGUUGUAAAGCCCUUUUGUUGGGAAAGAAAAGCAGCAGGUUAAUACCCCGCUGUUCUGACGGUACCCAAAGAAUAAGCACCGGCUAACUUCGUG
rnacentral:rRNA from 1 species